rnacentral:rRNA from 1 species
UACGUAGGGGGCAAGCGUUGUCCGGAAUCAUUGGGCGUAAAGCGCGUGUAGGCGGCUCGAUAAGUCUGCUGUGAAAGUCCAAGGCUCAACCUUGGGAUGCCGGUGGAUACUGUCGAGCUCGAGUCCGGAAGAGGAGUGUGGAAUUCCUGGUGUAGCGGUGAAAUGCGCAGAUAUCAGGAAGAACACCCGUGGCGAAAGCGGCUCUCUGGGACGGUACUGACGCUGAGACGCGAAAGCGUGGGGAGCGAACAGG